rnacentral:rRNA from 1 species
UAAAGAAAGCGUAAUAGCUCACUGAUCGAGUCUUUCUGCGCGGAAGAUGUAACGGGGCUAAGCAAGUAACCGAAGCCGCGGAUUCAUACGUAAGUAUGAGUGGUAGGGGAGCGUUCUGUAAGCCUGCGAAGGUGUGUUGAGAAGCAUGCUGGAGGUAUCAGAAGUGCGAAUGCUGACAUGAGUAACGUUAAAGCGGGUGAAAAGCCCGCUCGCCGUAAGCCCAAGGUUUCCUGCUCUACGUUCAUCGGAGCAGGGUGAGUCGGCCCCUAAGGCCAGGCUGAGAAGCGUAGUCGAUGGGAACAAGGUUAAUAUUCCUAGACCAUUGUCAAGUAUGCGAUGGGGGGACGGAGUGUGAAAGAUGAUCCGGGUGUUGGAUAUCCCGGUUUGUGAGAGUAGAAGGAAGGCAGGCAAAUCCGCCUUCAAAUCUUCGAGUCAAAACAUCGAUUCUCCACGUGAGAAGAAGUCAUCGGAAGUGCUUCCAAGAAAAGCCUCUAAGUGGUAGCUUGACAAGACCGUACCGCAAACCGACACUGGUGGGCGAGUUGAAUAUACUAAGGCGCUUGAGAGAACUCGGGAGAAGGAACUCGGCAAAUUGACACCGUAACUUCGGAAGAAGGUGUGCCUUUGUAGCGUGAGAGAAGAAACAUCUUAAGCGUGAAGAGGCCUCAGAGAAUAGGUGGCUGCAACUGUUUACUAAAAACAUAGCACUCUGCAAAGAUGAAAGUCGACGUAUAGGGUGUGAUGCCUGCCCGGUGCUGGAAGAUUAAUUGAUGGGGUGCAAGCUCCUGAUCGAAGUCCCAGUAAACGGCGGCCGUAACUAUAACGGUCCUAAGGUAGCGAAAUUCCUUGUCGGGUAAGUUCCGACCUGCACGAAUGGCAUAAUGAUGGCCACACUGUCUCCUCCCGAGACUCAGUGAAGUUGAAGUGUUUGUGAUGAUGCAAUCUCCCCGCGGCUAGACGGAAAGACCCCAUGAACCUUUACUGUAGCUUUACAUUGGACUGUGAACCGAUUUGUGUAGGAUAGGUGGGAGGCAGUGAAACUCAGACGCCAGUUUGAGCGGAGCCAUCCUUGAAAUACCACCCUGAUUUGUUUGCGGUUCUAACCUCGGCCCAUGAUCUGGGCUAGGGACCGUGUAUGGUAGGCAGUUUGACUGGGGCGGUCUCCUCCUAAAGGGUAA